CCUAUUGCGUCGAGAUUUUCUUCUGGUCCCUAAUCCUCAUUUUUGGUUUCUAAACUAACGAAGGGUGCAACACCAGGUCGCUGAAAGGACAAAGAUCUGGUCCUAUUAAACCUCCCCCAAGUCCCUUCGAUACAUCCAUAAAAAAUUAGACCAGCCCUCCCCCCUCCUCCUCCCCUUCUAAUUUUCCCCAAACUGAAACCCUAACAAAUCGCUAUUCCAUAUUUUUCUCCAGGAAUUUCUCACGACGUGUCUACGGUCUAUCUGAAGUGACUGAAGACUCACAAACCGGCGAUAACAAGAUUUGUCUAUAUGAACAGAAAUGAGGCAGCUUAUCCUAAGCAUCUUUUCUGCAAGCUCAAGCUUAGGUGCAGGUGUAUCAUGUGAGAGUUUCACAAUUGAGGUGAAUGUGAAGGAUUUCGUAUUUGAACCCAGAGACAACAGAUAGAUCUGCACAAGAUAAAGGUCCAAAUAUAUCCAAACAGCAAGACGUUGAACACAAAAAACGAAAGCUUGCUACCCUAAUGGAGAUAUGAAAAAUACCUACAGCAAUAAUUUACUUCGAAUAACAAAGUCCACAUCAAGAUGCUACACCAGCAAGAAUUUUGAAAUUUAUUAGUCAGAAUAUUUAGAUGGUUGUAGUAUGUAAAAUGUAAAUGCUAAGAAACAUGUAGGAGGUAAGGUAUAUGUCCCCCUCCUUGUAUUGGACAUGUUAUUGAAAUCUGUAUCAAGGUCUUAGUGAUUUAACUUUGA